GCUGGCGGCAUGCUUUACACAUGCAAGUCGGACGGCAGCACAGAGAAGCUUGCUUCUUGGGUGGCGAGUGGCGAACGGGUGAGUAACAUAUCGGAACGUACCGAGCAGUGGGGGAUAACUAAUCGAAAGAUUAGCUAAUACCGCAUAUCUUCUGAGGAAGAAAGCAGGGGACCAUUUGGCCUUGCGCUGUUUGAGCGGCCGAUAUCUGAUUAGCUAGUUGGUGGGGUAAAGGCCUACCAAGGCGACGAUCAGUAGCGGGUCUGAGAGGAUGAUCCGCCACACUGGGACUGAGACACGGCCCAGACUCCUACGGGAGGCAGCAGUGGGGAAUUUUGGACAAUGGGCGCAAGCCUGAUCCAGCCAUGCCGCGUGUCUGAAGAAGGCCUUCGGGUUGUAAAGGACUUUUGUCAGGGAAGAAAAGGGCGGGGUUAAUACCCCUGUCUGAUGACGGUACCUGAAGAAUAAGCACCGGCUAACUACGUGCCAGCAGCCGCGGUAAUACGUAGGGUGCGAGCGUUAAUCGGAAUUACUGGGCGUAAAGCGGGCGCAGACGGUUACUUAAGCAGGAUGUGAAAUCCCCGGGCUCAACCUGGGAACUGCGUUCUGAACUGGGUGACUAGAGUGUGUCAGAGGGAGGUAGAAUUCCACGUGUAGCAGUGAAAUGCGUAGAGAUGUGGAGGAAUACCGAUGGCGAAGGCAGCCUCCUGGGAUAACACUGACGUUCAUGCCCGAAAGCGUGGGUGGCAAACAGGAUUAGAUACCCUGGUAGUCCACGCCCUAAACGAUGAAUACUAGGUGUCGGGGAGCAUGGCUCUUCGGUGCCGUCGCAAACGCAGUAAGUAUUCCACCUGGGGAGUACGUUCGCAAGAAUGAAACUCA
rnacentral:rRNA from 1 species